rnacentral:tRNA from 1 species
GGGUCGUUAGCUCAGUCGGUAGAGCAGCGGACUUUUAAUCCGUUGGUCGCGCGUUCGAAUCGCGCACGGCCUACCA